rnacentral:rRNA from 1 species
UACGUAGGGGGCUAGCGUUGUCCGGAAUCAUUGGGCGUAAAGCGCGUGUAGGCGGUCCGGUAAGUCCGCUGUGAAAGUCGGGGGUCAACCUCGGAUGCCGGUGGAUACUGUCGGGCUUGAGUACGGAAGAGGCGAGUGGAAUUCCUGGUGGUAGCGGUGAAAUGCGCAGGAUAUCAAGGAGGAACACCAAUUAGCGAAGGC